AGUUCAGAUUGCAGGCUGCAACUCGCCUGCAUGAAGUCGGAAUUGCUAGUAAUCGUAGGUCAGCAUACUACGGUGAAUACGUUCCCGGGCCUUGUACACACCGCCCGUCAAACCAUGAGAGUUGGCAACACCCGAAGUCGGUAGUCUAACCGCAAGGAGGACCGCCGCCGAAGGUGGGGUUGAUGAUUAGGGUUAAGUCGUAACAAGGUAUC
rnacentral:rRNA from 1 species